UGGGGAAUAUUGCACAAUGGGCGCAAGCCUGAUGCAGCCAUGCCGCGUGUGUGAAGAAGGCCUUCGGGUUGUAAAGUACUUUCAGCGGGGAGGAAGGGAGUAAAGUUAAUACCUUUGCUCAUUGACGUUACCCGCAGAAGAAGCACCGGCUAACUCCGUGCCAGCAGCCGCGGUAAUACGGAGGGUGCAAGCGUUAAUCGGAAUUACUGGGCGUAAAGCGCACGCAGGCGGUUUGUUAAGUCAGAUGUGAAAUCCCCGGGCUCAACCUGGGAACUGCAUCUGAUACUGGCAAGCUUGAGUCUCGUAGAGGGGGGUAGAAUUCCAGGUGUAGCGGUGAAAUGCGUAGAGAUCUGGAGGAAUACCGGUGGCGAAGGCGGCCCCCUGGACGAAGACUGACGCUCAGGUGCGAAAGCGUGGGGAGCAAACAGG
rnacentral:rRNA from 1 species